rnacentral:rRNA from 1 species
AUUGAACGCUGGCGUCAGGCCUAACACAUGCAAGUCGAGCGGAUGAAGGGAGCUUGCUCCUGGAUUCAGCGGCGGACGGGUGAGUAAUGCCUAGGAAUCUGCCUGGUAGUGGGGGAUAACGUCCGGAAACGGGCGCUAAUACCGCAUACGUCCUGAGGGAGAAAGUGGGGGAUCUUCGGACCUCACGCUAUCAGAUGAGCCUAGGUCGGAUUAGCUAGUUGGUGGGGUAAAGGCCUACCAAGGCGCCGAUCCGUAACUGGUCUGAGAGGAUGAUCAGUCACACUGGAACUGAGACACGGUCCAGACUCCGACGGGAGGCAGCAGUUGGGAAUAUUGGACAAUGGGCGAAAGCCUGAUCCAGCCAUGCCGCGUGUGUGAAGAAGGUCUUCGGAUUGUAAAGCACUUUAAGUUGGGAGGAAGGGCAGUAAGUUAAUACCUUGCUGUUUUGACGUUACCAACAGAAUAAGCACCGGCUAACUUCGUG